rfam:Blautia sp. YL58, complete genome.
CCAAAACUAUCUCUGUACGAUCCACACCGAUGAAACAUUGUACAGAGU